rnacentral:rRNA from 1 species
UACGUAGGGUGCGAGCGUUGUCCGGAAUUCCUGGGCGUAAAGAGCUCGUAGGUGGUUUGUCGCGUUGUUCGUGAAAACCUGAGGCUUAACCUUGGGCGUGCGGGCGAUACGGGCAGACUGGAGUACUGCAGGGGAGACUGGAAUUCCUGGUGUAGCGGUGGAAUGCGCAGAUAUCAGGAGGAACACCGGUGGCGAAGGCGGGUCUCUGGGCAGUAACUGACGCUGAGGAGCGAAAGCGUGGGGAGCGAACAGG